AUUGAAAACAGUAAAUACGUAGAUAAGUUGAGUGAUACAAUUAACUUGCUUGAUUUAAUAGAUAAUUGUGAAAUUAUGUAGCAACAUACAUAGCACAUGUAUUUUUCUCAUAUACUCAUGUGAAUUACUUGACAUACAGUUGGCCACAAGAAUACCUUGGCAAUUUCCCCCAAAAUAGCUGUUUUAUACAUUGGGUUCUUUGACUAGAAUUUAAUAAAUCUAAAUCUAAACCAACAGAUGACCUACCUCACCCCUUUAUCAACUGCUUAUAUUUGCAGGAAAGUGACAGUAAAGGCUAGUUACCAAGAGAAAUUGAAGGAGGAGUACCAUGACAUUAGGUCCUUGUCUCUGGUCUUCCCCCAUGUCAGGAGUACUGCCAUUCCUAUGGUUUGGCUCUGAGUCAACAAUUUCUCUUACUGGGCUUAGGCUAGUUUGCCUUCCUUUCUGUUUCAUAGCAAAAGGAGCUGAUUAACACAGGGUUCUCUCUUUUUCUCUCCCUCUGUCUCUGUCUCUCACUACAUAUACAUGCGGACAUGUAUAUUGAAUUCAUACAAAUACCUUCAAUUACAUCAAGUUGAAUUGCAAAGCCCCUAAUUUACUGCAGAUAUGCUUAGAUUGAUAUUUCUAUGCACAAGACUUGACAAGUAAAAUUUUUUCUCAUGAAUCCUUCUCUCUCCUAAAGUAAUAUAAUUUAAGGAACAGAUCUCCUGAACACAGGAUAUACAUAGGAACCCAUGGAAUUUUCAUCUCUCUAAGUUCUUUUACUGAACAGAGACCACACCAUUAAAGAGGAACAUUUUGAGUUCUCUAGGUUAGCAUAUUAAAAAGGUGAAAUUUACAUUAAAAACUUUUUAGUUUUACCUUACCAAAUUAAGGAUCCUUAUUUCCUUUAUGUCAAAGCAGAUAAUCACGAAGACCUGACAUCUAUGGGGGUCUGAUCCAAGCAGGGCUGUGGUCAUUGCUCCCUGGACACUGCAUUGCAUAUGAGAUAGAGGGUCUGCUAAGCCAGCUGCUGAAGGAAGACUUUAUUUCCCAGGGGAAAUUCUAGCACAUCUGGGGCACUGUGGUCCUCACACUUGGUUUGGAUUCUCUUCCUGAUGACGGACGUCUGCUUUCUGGCAAGGAUGAAGACGCCAAGGCAAUGACACCUGACAGUCAUAUAGCUGAUAAGGAACAGCGCCAGGACCCAGAGCCAGGCAGUGUGACUGAGCAAGAGUCUGUGCUUUUAACGACUAGGUUUUGCUAGCCCAAAGCACAUACUUGAUACACGUUGCUGAGAAGCAUGAGGCACUACAAUUGGACUUGAUGAAGGGAAAUAAAUAUCAUACAGAGAGUUGUUCAGGACAUUGCGAGAAUCAUGCCACUGAAUGCUGGUGGGGCAGCCUCUGACUGGGGAGGGGUGACCACAGAUGGGAGAGAUACAUUAUGGUAUCUCAAAGGUGAAAAACAAUGUGCAGAUGCUUAUUUGGCAAAAAAAAAAAAAGUAGUGCUAUAUGGCUUCCAUUGUCAUCCUUUGAAAUUUUAA
rnacentral:lncRNA from 1 species